UGUAAAUUGAGUCUUUUAAUAAAUGUACACGUAACAUGCUCCAUAACACUAAAAUGUACAGCCAUAAAAAAACAUGGGUACGAGGACCCGCGCACCUGUACAACAUAAAACUACACUGACAACAAAACAAUCUCUAACAAAGACAUGAGGGGAAACAGAGGGUUAAAUACACAACAGGUAAUGAAUGGGAUUAAAAACAGGUGUGUGGGAAGACAAGACAAAACCAAUGGAAAAUGGAUCAAUGAGGCUAGAAGACCGGUGACGUCGACCGCCGAGCACCGCCCGAACAAGGAGAGGCAACGACUUCGAUAGAAGUCGUGACGACCGUAAAUAUUAGAAAGCCGGGUUUGACCGUCGACGUUGUAUGAGCUAUACAGUACAGUACCGUUAUCUAGCAAGAUGUCCUAACUUGGCACAACUAGAUCUUAGAAAUUAAUAAAGUCCAUGGGAAUGGAUAUAGACAAAACGAGAUUUCAAGGACUAGCAGAGCAGAGGUAGAGAGGCAGGGGUGAGGACAUCAUCCUGCUAUUUUGACAGUCCUUUUAGGACAAUACAGAAGAGGACUGGAGACCACAGCAGCGAUUCUGCUCUUGCCCAACCUCUUCAAAGAGGAGCCGAGUGGCCUUUAUGUCCGUGACAAGAUUUCACCGCUCUUCACUCCUUUACUGCACAUCGGUGGAAAUCCAUUUCACCAUGAAAGUGAAAUCCCGCUGGCCUUUGAUGGGGAGAACAUCCACCCCCUCGAGGACGUCUCCAUGGGACUUGGGGCUCUACUAGGGCUGUAUUUUUUAUUUUCCCUUAAAUUUCCC